UAUUCCACCAGAUCCCCUGUCCCUGCUUCCACCUGUGGUACACUUCAUUUUUAUGUUUGGGUUUUGUCAGGAGCUCCUUGCUUGUGUUCAUCCAUGUAGGCCUCCUUGCAUCUAUGCACGGGUGUUUCUUUUCAAGUAGGAGCAAAAUGGAGGAGAAGGAAAUGCUUUGUGUGAGUGCAGUCUGUAAGAAGAGGGUCCCCAAAGCAGAAGAGGUCUGCUGUGAAAAAAAGGAGACUGCAUCCACGGGGAGAAAUCUGGUCUGUAGGGAUGAUGGCUGCUGGAGCAUCUCUCUUUCCCUGCUGUGCCACUGAGGAAAGCAACAUCUUGUCAUCAGCCUCUUGGAUAGCAGAAAUUGCUCUGUACUAGUUGCAAUGGCAAUAGGCAGACUGCAAGGGACAAGAAAGGCAAACCUAGAGAUCGAAUUCAUCAAAACAAGACAGGAUGAUAUUGGAAAUAUUCCUGGACACCUGGAAGACAACUUUGGGCUUAGAUCUGCACUGCCUUCCUCCUCCUCUGCCCUAGAUGCUACCUUUUGACAUGUCUGUUUCAUAAAUGAAACUCCUGUUCCAUACAUGUGUAAGCCAACACUUUCAAACACUUCCCCCCACAAAGAAUAUUUUCCUUCAGAUGGGGACUGAAUGAAGGCAGAACUGCAUAGAAACUCAGCAUAUUGUAAGCAAAACAGCCUAGAGCAUUCAUCUCAUAUCUCAUCUCAUCAUAUAGUUCCAUGUGACCACUAAACUGGCUGGUCAUGGCUAGUUGCCACUGCAAGGCAAAGGUCUUACCCUAGGCUGUGCUCUUCCAUUGUCACUUUUGUGCUGGCAUUGCUGCCUGGCUGGGCUGGGGUAAACCAGGAUGGAAGCUCUGCAGGACAGAGAGAUAAGCCAAGAAGAGAAGAUUUCCUGCAGUGUCUCACCCAGGCCAGGUGAGAGCCAGCAGAGCCUCAGAAGAAGCAAUUCAAAGAGGAAAGCCACAGUAGCACUGACUUAGAUCAGUCUAAAUUCCCAUACUAGUGUGUGCUUUCUGAGUGUGGCACUUCCUUCUCCUGCCUCUGCUCUGUCCUAGGCACUGCUAUCUCCCCCCCAGUGCUCCUUCUGAGGCUGCUUUGGAGCCCUUGUGAGUUGACUCAGCUCACCAACCUCACAGAAAAAAAAAACCCUCUUCAUUUGCUUGUUGGAUUGAUUCAAUGCGUAAUUAUAUGAAUCCCAUAACUCUGUGAGGGAAAGGGGGAGUGAAGGAAGAAGCUGGAGGAGGAGAUGGAACUGUCCUUUUCUGAUGGUCAAACCAUUAUUGCCACCCACUGAGGGUGCAAUUUGAUGUUACACCUAAGGAAUCCAACCAUGCAAGGUGCAAGUGAAGAUAACAGUGCUAAACUCACUGAUCUGAUGUAAAGUGAACUCUUUUCUUUGGUGAGUUGCCACAAAGCUGUGUGAUUGUUAAAUCCAGUUCAAGGGAAGCUGCAGGAAUGUCUCUGUGGAACUUUUUGGGAAGAACAGAACUGUUGUAUUUUAUGGCACUCUCCACUUAGAUUGUGCUAUCAGGAUGUUAAAUUGUCCUCUUUGCAUGCUUUCAGAAGGGAUAAAAACAAAACUCAGCUUGUCAAAGAAAAUUUAGUUUUGAGUUGGGUCAACACAGUGAUCUGACUUAAAAACUGCAAAACAGUUCGUCCUAAACCAGAGAGAGAAUGAAAAGAUAAAGUGAGGGGCAGGAGAUAGGAGAAUCUCUUUUUUGAUUGCAGUGUGCUCUUACAUUGGCUGACGCUGAACAUGGAGCUGCUCCCCAAGAAAGGGAGUCCAAGUGACUGAAGAAAUUUUCAGCUUUUUGUAGUAAACAGCUCAUCAAAAUGAUCUAACUUCAAAAAAUUCAUUAUCUUUUACUUUUGCAAACUGUGUUUUCCCUGGCCUCACAAGCAGAUGACUUUGUGGGAGAAUGGAAGAAUUAAGAACUGCACCAGAGAGUGAUUGACUAUGAAAUUGAGAAGUACGGAACUUAGCUGGCUUGACCAUCAGGAAAGUUGUAAUGUGGUAUUAUGCUUUGGAUUUUCUACAGUAGCUUGUAAUGAAGAAGAAUAAAGACAUACCUCAG